ensembl:snoRNA U8 U8 small nucleolar RNA
UUAUCAGUGAGGUUGCUCCUUACUUUUAGUAUUUGUAAUGUUGCUGCAGUAUGUGAUUGGAUUCAGUAAGUGUUUGAUUAGAUUCCGCAUUUAUCAGAGAACUGCAACUCUUUGAUGAAUUCUGUAUGAU